rnacentral:rRNA from 1 species
AUUGAACGCUGGCGGCAGGCUUAACACAUGCAAGUCGAGCGGGGAAAGGUAGCUUGCUACCUGACCUAGCGGCGGACGGGUGAGUAAUGCUUAGGAAUCUGCCUAUUAGUGGGGGACAACAUCUCGAAAGGGAUGCUAAUACCGCAUACGUCCUACGGGAGAAAGCAGGGGACCUUCGGGCCUUGCGCUAAUAGAUGAGCCUAAGUCGGAUUAGCUAAUUGGUGGGGUAAAGGCCUACCAAGGCGACGAUCUGUAGCGGGUCUGAGAGGAUGAUCCGCCACACUGGGACUGAGACACGGCCCAGACUCCUACGGGAGGCAGCAGUGGGGAAUAUUGGACAAUGGGGGGAACCCUGAUCCAGCCAUGCCGCGUGUGUGAAGAAGGCCUUUUGGUUGUAAAGCACUUUAAGCGAGGAGGAGGCUACCGAGAUUAAUACUCUUGGAUAGUGGACGUUACUCCCAGAAUAAGCACCGGCUAACUCUGUG